rnacentral:lncRNA from 1 species
CUGGACAGCCGUGAAAGAAAUUGGGACUGAUCUUUGGACAGGAGGAUGGCUGUGUCCCCUCCUGAGGUCAGAGGGGGACACUGCUUCCAGACAGGGCCUGCAGCUGAGCCUACAGCCUCUCCUGACAUGGCCACGUGAUGAUUUGGUCAUGCCUUCAGAUGAAUGGCUAUCUGCUUAUGUGCAUAGAUCCACCAGAGUUGUCACAGUUACAGGCCAGUUACUAGGAGGCCUCUUCUGAAUGUGACAUGGGAGGAGGGUCUCCCCUUUUCUCUUGGGGAGACACUGAGGUGAAAUAGGCCUGCACCAGCCAAUACAGAGGCAGCAAGGAGGGUCCUGAAGACACUCACUUGGCUGCAGAAGAGACCAGGGGUUUCCUCCAGCUGCCUGGUUGGCUGCUGCUCUGAGAAGAUACCAGGCCUCUGCUCCGGUGGCUUCAGGGAGGCCACUCUGGACACAGCCAGCAGAAGCAGGUCAUCGAUGGAGGGUCAGCCUACAAGGACACAGACAAGUUCAUGUUCUUUGGGAGGUGGCAGCCAAGGACUUGGUGCAUUGCAAGGAGGUCAGGGAAACAGAGACAGAGAAGCUGCUUCUCCAAACUUCAGUGACCACACCUGUGUUCCCGCAGCUGAGUGUCUCUCAGAAUGGGUGUCUCUUAGGGACACACUGCUGUAGCUCAACACAGGAGCAUUGCCAACACUUUGAGCUGGAGAAUAACACAAACCACAGAUAAGCCUCUUGGAAUGACCACUGUGGGGACCUGAAGGUGUGUACUGGAGGCUGGACAAGUGUUGAGGGGCUCCCCUGGCGAGCAUCUGUGACAGGUUUGAUGAGGCCUGUUCCCAGCAGUGGCAGUGAGGCUGGCAUGUCUGGAUGACCUCUACCCAGAGGCCCAGCUUUAUUGCAGGCUGGCUCUGAAUCCUUUCAUCUCUGGCCGCAGCCGGACAAAGUGCCAGAGCUGAGCAGCUGCCUCAGUUCUCCAGCCCCUGUGCUCUGAGAGGCCACACAGGGGACAGAGAUCAGAGGAGCCGACAUCAAAGUGAUGCAACUGCCCUCCCAGGAA